GACACACCUUCCAUCGGUGUUACUGACUCGCCCUUUCGGUCGGACGGGUACGGCGCACCGUCGACAUCGACACAGGUAGCCAUCAGGUCAAUCAGGUGUCCUGGCUCAUGCGUGAUCGCGCCGGCUUUCGCUUUACCCGGCCAG
rnacentral:misc_RNA from 1 species